rnacentral:lncRNA from 1 species
CAUUUUCUAAGAUGAGGUCUCCAAUGGCCUCUCUCAUUGCCACCCUUCUAGUGGUGUCAGUCUCUCUAUGUUUGCCAUCGGAAACCUCCGCAGAUCAGUACUCUUACCUCUCUCCUCCACCUCCCAAGAAAUCCCCACCACCACCGGUUUAUUCCCCACCUUACCAUUACAAAUCUCCACCUCCUCCAGUGCACUCUCCACCUCCACCACCACCCAAGGAACAUUAUAAAUAUAAGUCUCCACCACCACCACCUAAAGAGCAUUACAAAUACAAGUCUCCACCACCANNNNNNN